ACUCAAAUGAAUUGACGGGGACUUGCACAAGCAGUGGAUUAUGUGGUUUAAUUCGAUGGUAAACGAAGAACCUUACCAGGGUUAGAAAUCCAUACGAAAGCCUUAGGAAACUUUGGCCCUCGCAAGACGUAUGGACAGGUGAUGCAUGGCCGUCGUCAGUUCGUGGUUUGAAUUGUACCCUUAAGUGGGCUAACGAACGCAACCCUCGUUGUGUGUUACAAGUGUCACACGAGACCGCCCCCGCCUUAGUAAAUUUUUUUUGAAAAAGUUUGUUAAGGCGGGGGAGGAAGGAGAGGAUGACGCCAGGUCAGCAUGUCCCUUUGAUACCCUGGGCUACACACAUAAUACAAUGGCCACUACAACGCGUUGCGACGAGGCGACUCUGAGCUAAUCGUUUAAAAGUGGCCUCAGUUCGGAUUGAAGGCUGCAACUCGCCUUCAUGAAGCUGGAAUUGCUAGUAAUCGCAGGUCAGCUAAACUGCGGUGAAUACGUUCUCAAGUCUUGUACACACCGCCCGU
rnacentral:rRNA from 1 species